UUAGCGAGUGCGCGAGUCACUGGGUGGAAAACCUAAAGGCGAAAUGAAAGUGAAUGGGGCCUCUGGCCCCCGAGGGAAGAUGGGCGUCCGUCCUUCGCAGGCGGCGCCCCGCACUCCCGGGGCGUCUCUUUCUCGUUACGAGUGGAGGCGCACCUGUAGCGCACACGUUGAUACCCGAAAGAUGGUGAACUAUGCCUGGCCAGGACGAAGCCAGGGGAAACCCUGGUGGAGGUCCGCAGCGAUUCUGACGUGCAAAUCGAUCGUGGGAGCUGGGUAUAGGGGCGAAAGACCAAUCGAACCAUCUAGUAGCUGG
rnacentral:misc_RNA from 13 species